CAGCCGCCGCGGUAAUACGAAGGGGGCUAGCGUUGUUCGGAAUUACUGGGCGUAAAGGGCGCGUAGGCGGCCAUUCAAGUUAGAUGUGAAAGCCCUGGGCUCAACCUAGGAAUUGCAUUUGAUACUGUUUGGCUUGAGUUCGGGAGAGGUGAGUGGAAUUCCCAGUGUAGAGGUGAAAUUCGUAGAUAUUGGGAAGAACACCAGUGGCGAAGGCGGCUCACUGGACCGACACUGACGCUGAGGCGCGAAAGCUAGGGGAGCAAACAGGAUUAGAUACCCCUGUAGUCCCUGUCUCUUAUAC
rnacentral:rRNA from 1 species